CCAUGUCAUUCUCGUAGCGAACCAGUCGCAGAGAGAGAGAUGGGCAACGGAGGCCAUAAGCGCAGGAGCAACCAGGGGGAUCAGCAACGGAGGCCGCAUGAUCCAGAGGACGACUCCGGGAACGAGCGGUGCGGCCAAGUAGCAUGGCCGUGGAGGCGCGGUCACGGCGGCGGCGGCGUGAGGUGGGAGGGCUCCGUAGAGCUCGAGGAAGGGUCGGAUAGGGGAUCUGAUGGGGGAGAGAGCCUCCCGAGGACGAGAAGCCUCACGGACGGCGACCUGGAGGAGCUCAAAGGGUGCUUGGACUUAGGGUUCGGCUUCAGCCACGACGAGAUCCCGGGGCUCUGCGCCAUGUUGCCUGCUCUCGAGCUUUGCUACUCCAUGGGUCGAUUGCUGGGUGGUGGCGCAGGCAAUGCCGGCGGGGACGCGGACGGAUCUUAUGAGGCGAUCGCUGCCCUUCCCGUUGCGAACUGGAAGAUCUCUAGCCCUGGUGACCAAUCAGAGAAAGAUUUAGUUGUUGCCGAAAAAUUGGAUAAUUGUGUAAGAGAUCCUCGUGGUGGUGAUCUACAAAUUUGAAACUAGUUUUUAUUAAGAAAAAAAAAAGAGGGGCCUUUCCCCUUGAAUAAGGUGAUCAUCCUGAUGAAGUUAAGGCAAGACUGAAGAUUUGGGCACAAGCAGUGGCUUGCACUGUUAGAUUACACAGUUGAUGGAUGAAACUCUCGAAAUUAUCCAUCAUGGCAUCGAGCUAUUUUCCUUCACUAUCAAUCAUCAAUCUGUGAUGUCCAAUUGCUUAUGCCAUUAGAGAUGCAGCGCGGUGGAAAUCCAGUACAGAAGAAUCAAAGGAACAGGAAAAGCAUGUCGAAACCCUGGAUUUAAGGAUGAUAUCAUGUAAAUUUUCCUUAUACAACAUGAUAUGCAUCUUCCCUGUAUAGUAAAUCUACAAAUAAGUUGAGUGGAAUAGAAUACUUGCUUUUUAUAUGGCUUCGUAUUGUUAGGAUAAUUUCGUAUAUGCACAUUAUCAAGUUUGGGCAUUGUUAGUGAAUGUGUAUGAGAAAGCAAUAAAAAUGAAACAUAAGUUUGUGGGGCACUUGCCCUAAUUUUUUUUU